rnacentral:rRNA from 1 species
AUGUCACCCAGGAUCAGGAUUGUUGCUCCUAGUUCCGGUGUUCUGAAGAUGGAGACUUCAGACAAGAAUGGGUAUCGGUUGAUGGAUGUUGCCUACCACAUCGACCCUUAUGGUUGCAUCAACCUAAGUACUGGGUGGAAGGAGUUUGCGGCUGAGUCUGGAUUUGAGGAUGGUGAUGUGGUUAUGGCUGCACUCGCUAGGGUUCCUUUGCUGUUGAACGAGCGUUUGGCGGCAGUGAUAUUGGAUUGUAUGUUGGAGUUUAAUGGCAGCCAUGGUGUUCCAGAGGACAUUGCUGAUGUUGUUAAAGAUAUUAAUGAUGGAAUGUAUUCACUUAACGUUGAUGAUGGUGAUGGCAACUUGCAGUUGUCUGUUACUCAGUCUCAAAGUGUUGAUGGCACUGAGCCUGUUACCCAAGCUGAGGAUGUUCCUAUGCACAAAGCUGAUGCAGAUAGUUUUGCUGUGAAAAUUGGUCCAAGCAAACUUGGUGGCUCCUCUGUUCGUCGGAGUCCACGAGGUUUGACAAAUAAGAAGCCUUCUUCGUCUCCUCUUCAAGAGCGGUCUUUGUUGAAAGAAAAUAAGAAGCGUAAAGUUCAUCCUGCAAAAGUGAACAAAGGUGCAAAGAAGCGUGCUCGUGUUGAAGCUGAAGAUUCUGCAUCUGAACAAGAUGAUAUUGAAGUUGAUUCAGAAGAUGAAUUUGCAGUGCCUAUUAGCGUCAUGAGUCCGAUCAAGUCGGUGGGAGGCAAUGCCGGAAAAGUUGCCUUGGAUGAAGAUUGUGAUACAAUGACUCUUGACAUGGGUGAGGCUAAUAAGAAGCUUCGCAUCACUAGCGAUGGUAUACAACAAUUAUUUGGUUUCCCUCGUGGUGGUCGUUCUACGCCAAGGCCGUCAGAGGACGGAUAUGAUGACGCUCUGAUGAAGUGA